UAGGGAAUCUUCGGCAAUGGACGAAAGUCUGACCGAGCAACGCCGCGUGAGUGAAGAAGGUUUUCGGAUCGUAAAACUCUGUUGUUAGAGAAGAACAAGGACGUUAGUAACUGAACGUCCCCUGACGGUAUCUAACCAGAAAGCCACGGCUAACUACGUGCCAGCAGCCGCGGUAAUACGUAGGUGGCAAGCGUUGUCCGGAUUUAUUGGGCGUAAAGCGAGCGCAGGCGGUUUCUUAAGUCUGAUGUGAAAGUCCCCGGCUCAACCGGGGAGGGUCAGUGGAAACUGGGAGACUUGAGUGCAGAAGAGGAGAGUGGAAUUCCAUGUGUAGCGGUGAAAUGCGUAGAUAUAUGGAGGAACACCAGUGGCGAAGGCGGCUCUCUGGUCUGUAACUGACGCUGAGGCUCGAAAGCGUGGGGAGCAAACAGG
rnacentral:rRNA from 1 species